GCCUAGCUCAGUUGGUAGAGCAUGAGACUCUUAAUCUCAGCAUUGUGGGUUUGAGCCCCACGUUGGGCA
rnacentral:tRNA from 1 species